rnacentral:rRNA from 1 species
UACGUAGGGUGCGAGCGUUGUUCGGAAUUACUGGGCGUAAAGGGCUCGUAGGCGGCCAACUAAGUCGGAUGUGAAAUCCCCAGGCUUAACCUGGGAACUGCAUCCGAUACUGGAUGGCUUGAAUCCGGGAGAGGGAUGCAGAAUUCCAGGUGUAGCGGUGAAAUGCGUAGAUAUCUGGAGGAAUACCGGUGGCGAAGGCGGCAUCCUGGACCGGCAUUGACGCUGAGUGAGCGAAAGCCAGGGGAGCAAACGGG